UACAGAGGGUGCGAGCGUUGUCCGGAAUCACUGGGCGUAAAGGGCGCGUAGGUGGUGGCUUAAGCGUGCGGUGAAAGCUCGGGGCUCAACUCCGAGUCGGCCGUGCGAACUGGGCUCACUGGAGCAUAGUAGAGGCAGGUGGAAUUCCGGGUGUAGCGGUGGAAUGCGUAGAGAUCCGGAAGAACACCGGUGGCGAAGGCGGCCUGCUGGGCUAUGGCUGACACUGAGGCGCGACAGCGUGGGGAGCGAACAGG
rnacentral:rRNA from 1 species